rnacentral:misc_RNA from 1 species
GAUGAAGAACGCAGCGAAAUGCGAUAAGUAGUGUGAAUUGCAGAAUUCAGUGAAUCAUCGAAUCUUUGAACGCACAUUGCGCCCCUUGGUAUUCCAUGGGGCAUGCCUAUUCGAGCGUCAUUUGUACCUUCAAGCUUUGCUUGGUGUUGGGUGUUUGUCCCGAGGGACUCGCCUUAAAGUAAUUGGCAGCCAGUGUUUGGUUUUGAAGCGCAGCACAAGUCGCGAUUCAAGGCUACACGCCCGCUUCCACAAGCCUUUUUUCACUUUUGACCUCGGAUCAGGUAGGGAUACCCGCUGAACUUAAGCAUAUCAAUCAGCGGAGGA